AUUUACAUGUAAAGAAAAAUCAAGAAUCACAGAUGCAAAAAGAGUUGGAUAACUUGAAAGACGUCUUGAAUUUUGAGAAGCAAAACUUAGAAAUGGCUAUUUAUGAUUGUGAUAAAUUCAAUACAUUGUGCAAUGAAAAAGAUGUAGAGCUUAAGGCUGCCCUAACAGAGAAGUGAAACUUAGAAAUGCGGCUUCCAAAGUUGAGUUCUCAAGGUUCAAAGAAAACUACUCCGAAAGAAUUGGUCGACGCAAAUAAUCAGGUCUUUGAUAAGAUUCAUGAAGAGUUGAAAGCUCGUUGUAUGUUGCGUACCGCAGAAGAAACAAAAAAGAGGCUUUUGAUGAAAAAUCAUCACUUGAGGCAAAAAUUGUAGAGAUUGAAAAGAAGAAAUCAAGUGAGGAUGAACAUGCAUAAUUGAACCAUUGCUUCAAUACAAGUACUAUUGGAAAAUC